UAAGAAAAGCAAUUUUCAAAAGCAUUUUGCUUUAUACAAAAGCAAACAACUAUAACAACCUCAAUCCCCAGCCACCCUUCCAAAAUCCAACUAAUUGUCCACAUUGUCAUGGCUACCAUGGCUGAAGAGCAGCCGAACCCAUAUAUGGAACCUAGCCCACCGGUGAGGCUUUCUUCUGAGACAGACAUGGCUGGAACUGACACCACGCCAGCCCCUUCAUGGUUCACCCCAAAGAGGUUACUUGUAAUCUUUUGUGUAAUUAAUUUGUUAAAUUAUGUGGACCGAGGAGCAAUGGCAAGCAAUGGUGUGAAUGGGAGUCGCGGAACUUGCACAAAAAGUGGGACAUGCUCAUCUGGCAGUGGAAUUCAGGGGGAUUUUAACCUGAACAAUUUUGAAGAUGGUAUUUUAUCAUCUGCUUUUAUGGUUGGACUUCUUGUAGCUUCUCCAAUCUUUGCAUCCUUGGCGAAGAGUGUCAACCCAUUUAGGCUAAUUGGAGUUGGAUUGUCAGUUUGGACUGUUGCUGCACUUGGCUGUGGUUUUUCAUUUAAUUUCUGGUCCAUUACAAUCUGUCGCAUGUUUGUUGGUGUUGGUGAGGCUUCAUUUAUAAGUCUUGCUGCUCCAUUCAUUGAUGACAAUGCCCCAGUUGCUCAGAAAACAGCCUGGCUGGCAAUAUUCUACAUGUGUAUACCAUCUGGAAUUGCAGUCGGCUAUGUUUAUGGUGGAUUGGUUGGAGAUCAUUUUAGUUGGCGUUAUGCAUUCUGGGGGGAAGCAAUUUUGAUGCUUCCAUUUGCUAUACUAGGUUUUAUUAUGAAACCUUUGCAGUUAAAAGGUUUUGCUCCUGCUAAAUCAAAGAAAACACAGACAGCUGUAGAGACAAUUGCCCAAGAAGGUCAAGAUACAGAGGCUUUGAAUGGUAAAGAUGGUGCCUUGUCCAUGAAGGCAGAUUCCAAAUAUCAAAGCUCAAAUACACCUUCCGGGUCAACAAUUUCUUCCAAUAAUGUAAACCAGUUCUCAAGAUUUUUUAAAGAUAUGAAAGUUCUUUUGUGUGAUAAGGUGUAUGUUGUAAAUGUUCUAGGAUAUAUAUCUUAUAACUUUGUCAUAGGCGCAUACUCUUACUGGGGGCCAAAAGCUGGUUAUAAUAUUUAUAAUAUGAGCAAGGCAGAUCUGAUAUUCGGAGGGAUUACAAUUGUGUGUGGAAUAUUGGGAACAAUAGCAGGAGGUUGUAUUCUGGAUUUAAUGACUUCUACAAUCUCCAAUGCUUUUAAGCUUCUUUCAACAGCAACAUUUUUCGGGGCAAUAUGUUGCUUUAGUGCCUUUUGUUUUAAGAGCCUUUAUGGUUUCCUAGCUCUUUUCGCAAUUGGUGAAUUACUUGUUUUUGCUACUCAGGGUCCUGUCAAUUAUGUAUGCCUCCAUUGUGUGAAACCAAGUUUGCGUCCGCUAUCAAUGGCUAUGUCUACUGUUGCAAUUCACAUUUUUGGUGAUGUUCCUUCCUCACCACUUGUUGGGGUUCUCCAGAGGAAGAAAGAAGAAAGGUCAAUACCACUAAUAAAAGGAAGGAAAAUGCAUGAGGAACUACUUUAUUCCAAUGUCUUUGUAAAGUGGAAAAAUAAAGUACUGUAACAGAAAGCUCAAUACCGCUAAUAAAAGGAUAGUGUUUAACAACUGGAGAGAGACUGCUCUUAUUCUAACAUCUAUACUAUUUCUAGCAGCUGGAAUAUGGUUCAUAGGGAUCUUUUUGCAUGGCGUAGACAGAUUUAACGAAGAGAGCGAGCAUCAUGCCACCAGAAUUGACAGGUCAAACACAACUCCCUUGCUAGAAGAUAAAACAGCACAUACUGCAGAAGCUUCUGCCUAACCAUAGAUCUUUGCCUAGAUUAAACAAGUUAUUAAAUCAUCUGCAGGGGCUAACACUAAUUUCAAGUACAUUCCUGGAUGAUGAUUUCCUUAUUUGUAAAUACUGCUCCUAGUGAUUAGAAUGUAUUUAUAUUGUUAAUAAAAAAUUUUGCUAUUUAAGAAGCCAUGUGAAUGAUGUUUUUCCCUGAUGGCUGACAACAUUCUUUGUAGAGUUUGGGUUAUCA